GCCUACUAUAUAAAGGUGAGCUGGUAGUGUCCCAGCCUAAUAAUCAGGGCCGACUCUAGCCUACUAUAUAAAGGUGAGCUGGUGGAAAUAUUGGGAGGGCAAAGUGCAAAGGGCAUUUCAGAUCAAAAUGGACAUAAA